CUCUCUUAAACUCAUUCUUCCCCCAUUUUCCAGUAACCUCUAUACUUUUCUAUGCAUUAUCCAUUGACAACAUUGAUUAGAAACCUGAGUAUACCAGUAAUACAAAUUCACGCAUAAAAAAGAGAUUAUUUGAAUUCAUCAAUAUUUUGUAAAGAGAAUUGUUCACCAUCAGGACCUCAUAGAAAAGAAAAAGAAAAAAGAAAAAUCAAAGCUCAAAUUUUCAGAGAGAACCCAUCUUCUUCUUCGUGCUAUUUUUUUAAUCUAAUAAUACCGAUGUUUUGGGUUGAACUGAUGGAUCUUUUUUUAUGUGGUGGCAGGUUAUUUGAGACUGUGUGAUGAUUUUUGUGAGCAAAAUCCAUGGCAGUGCAGGUAAAAGGUGAGACUUAGAAGUGAUGGAAGUAUAAGAGCGGACAGAUUUGGGCUUGGGGUUCGCGGUGGUGCCGUUGUGGCGAUGCGGUAGAGUAUGGCAGGAGUUGGGACGGAGAAUAAUAGAGGAAGAUGAAUAGGUGGUUGCACAGUGGUAAGCAACGACUAUGGUGGAAAUAGAAAGGAGGAAGGAGGAGAUAGGAGAAAUAAUUGGAAAAACAGAAGAUAAUGCCUCUCACGCGCCUCAACAGUGGGGUGUUACAUACAUUAUGCUAUGUCAGCAAUUUGUGUCUAAUUGACACAAUUUGCAUUCACUUCAAGUGUUCAAUAGGCACUAUUAUUAGUUGAAGUGUUUGAGUGAAAAAUAUUGCCCAAGUUUAUGGGGCCGCCUAUGUAUUCUGUCUUUAAUUAAAGUACUGAAAUAUAUUGUAAAUUAUUAGAGGAAAUUAGUAAAAGAUUGAAAUUUCAUAUA